UUUGAACCAUAUCCAACUCAACCUUUUGCUAAAAACUACAAAACUAAAGAGCAACAGCCAAAUUGUAUUACGACUUUUGCGUCUACCUUGGGAAAUCCCUUUCUAUUUGUAUUUCGCGCUUCGUGUCACGUGAUUCACACACAAACAAACAAAAUGGCGGAGGCUUCGAAAUCUACAAUGAGCGUACCAGCCAAAACAGAGGGAGAGAUGAGAAGAAGUAAAUGCGUGAGACAGCCAUCUAAGAGAAUGUUGUUGUAUUCUCAGGACACAGAUUCAGAUUCAAGUCUACAGAAGAGUUAAGGAAAACGUCCUGCCAGAAAGAUCCAGAAAGUUGAUACAUUAGCAACAAUAACUAAGUGGUGCUCUUGUCACAGAUGCCCACAAUACGAGAGAGUGGAAGAUCGAGUUUGCUGUGGGAUGGUCCCAGAAUUAUGCUCAAGUCACAGACCUGAGAUGACUCUUUCGGUGCUGGAUAGGAUGACCCUCUACAGUCAGCAGCAGUAUCAACAAGAUGUGUUUUCCUUUUAUGCAGAGACACUAGAAGAUGUCAAUAAAUCUUUCAGACAUGCUGCAUACAGACAAUUUACCAUCUUAAUGCAUGAGUAUAACUGUCCCAGCAUGUUGUGUUAAAUUAAUAAGGGAGAAGUUUCCUAGUCCUUAAGGCCAGUAUACAGGCUUCGUACCAGGUGAAGGCCCAGUGUUCUAAUAAUUUUGCAUAUUUAUGCCCCCCUUCGAAGAAGAGGGGGUAUAUAGUUUUGCACAUGUCGGUCCGUCCACCAGAUGGUUUCGGGAUGAUAACUUAAGAACGCUUAGGCCUAGGAUCAUGAAACUUCAUAGGUACAUUGAUCAUGACUGGCAAAUAACCCCUAUUGAUUUUCAGGUCACUAGGUCAAAGGUCAGUGACUCGAAACAGUAAAGCGGUUUCCGGAUGAUAACUCAAGAAUGCAUACGCCUAGGAUCUUGAAACUUCAUAGGUACAUUGAUCACGACUGGCAGAGGACCCCUUUAGAUUUUCCGGUCACAAGGUCAAGGUCACAGUGACUCAAAACAAUAAAAUGGUUUCCAGCUGAUAACUCAAGAAUGCUUACGCCUUUUGAUCAUGAAACUUCAUAGCUACAUUGAUAAUGACUGGCAGAUGACCCCUUUUGAUUUUCAGGUCACUAGGUCAAGGUCACAGUGACUCGAAAUAGUAAAAUGGUUUCCUGAUGAUAACUCAAGAAUAAUUAGGCCUAGGAUCAGGAAACGUUAUAGGUACAUUGAUCAUGACUGACAGAUGACCCCUAUUAAUUUUCAGGUCACUAUGUCAAAGGUCAAGGUGACUCGACACAGUAAAAUAGUUUCCGGAUGAUAACUCAAGAAAGCUUACGCCUAGGAUCAUGAAACUUCAUAAGUUCAUUGAUCACGACUCGCAGAUGACCCCUAUUGAUUUUCAGGUGACUAGGUCAAAGGUCAAUGUCACAGUGACAAAAAACGUAUUCACACAAUGGCUGCCACUACAACUGACAGCCCAUAUGGGGGGCAUGCAUGUUUUACAAACAGCCCUUGUUUAUUUUUAUUUGGAGUCAUUUUGUUUCACACUUGAUAUUUGUUAGAUUAGGUUUCUUAAAAUACAUUUUAAACAUGACAUAUGCUAAUGCAUGAUUAAACAUUUCGAAAUCAAUAAAAAAGCAACAAGUUGCUGUUGAAAUUAAAAAAAAUAGUAUCUUAUUAUUGUUUAAC